CCAGACUCCUACGGGAGGCAGCAGUAGGGAAUUUUGCGCAAUGGGCGAAAGCCUGACGCAGCAACGCCGCGUGAUCGAGACGCCCUUCGGGGUGUAAAGAUCUGUCAGUGGGGACGAAACUUGACGGUACCCACAGAGGAAGCACCGGCUAACUCCGUGCCAGCAGCCGCGGUAAUACGGGGGGUGCAAGCGUUGUCCGGAAUCAUUGGGCGUAAAGAGUUCGUAGGCGGCACGUAAAGUCUGGUGUUAAAGGCAGAGGCUCAACUUCUGUACGGCACUGGAUACUUGCGAGCUAGAAUGCGGUAGAGGUAAAGGGAAUUCCUGGUGUAGCGGUGAAAUGCUUAGAUAUCAGGAGGAACAUCGGUGGCGUAAGCGCUUUACUGGGCCGUAAUUGACGCUGAGGAACGAAAGCCAGGGUAGCAAAUGGGAUUAGAUACCCCAGUA
rnacentral:rRNA from 1 species